rnacentral:rRNA from 2 species
AACCCUAGACAGGGGAUCACUUGGCUCAUGGGUCGAUGAAGACCGCAGCAAACUGCGCGUCGCCGUGUGAACUGCAGGACACAUGAUCAUUGACAUGUUGAACGCAUAUUGCGCCUUAUACAU